rnacentral:rRNA from 1 species
GAGGAAUAUUGGUCAAUGGGCGAGAGCCUGAACCAGCCAAGUCGCGUGAAGGAUGACUGUCUUAUGGAUUGUAAACUUCUUUUAUACGGGAAUAACAAGAGUCACGUGUGACUCCCUGCAUGUACCGUAUGAAUAAGCAUCGGCUAACUCCGUGCCAGCAGCCGCGGUAAUACGGAGGAUGCGAGCGUUAUCCGGAUUUAUUGGGUUUAAAGGGUGCGUAGGCGGCCUGUUAAGUCAGCGGUGAAAUCUAGGAGCUUAACUCCUAAAUUGCCAUUGAUACUGGCGGGCUUGAGUGUAGAUGAGGUAGGCGGAAUGCGUGGUGUAGCGGUGGAAUGCAUAGAUAUCACGCAGAACUCCGAUUGCGAAGGCAGCUUACUAAGGUACAACUGACGCUGAAGCACGAAAGCGUGGGUAUCAAACAGGAUUAGAUACCCUGGUAGUCCACGCAGUAAACGAUGAUAACUGGGCGUAUGCGAUAUACAGUAUGCUCCUAAGCGAAAGCGUUAAGUUAUCCACCUGGGGAGUACGCCGGCAACGGCG